rnacentral:rRNA from 1 species
AGAUUGAACGCUGGCGGCGUGCCUAACACAUGCAAGUCGAGGCGGUAGCAGGUGUAGCAAUACAUGCUGACGAGCGGCGAACGGGUGAGUAAUGCUUCGGAAAUCUACCCACGGGUGGGGAAUAACCAACCGAAAGGUUGGCUAAUACCGCAUAAGUCCUACGGGGGAAAGCGGGGGAUCGAAAGACCUCGCGCCGGUGGAUGAGCCGAAGCCGGAUUAGCUAGUUGGUAGGGUAAUGGCCUACCAAGGCGACGAUCCGUAGCUGGUCUGAGAGGGACGACCAGCCACACUGGGACUGAGACACGGCCCAGGACUCCUACGGGAGGCAGC